UACGGGGGGGGCAAGCGUUGUUCGGAAUCAUUGGGCGUAAAGCGCACGUAGGCGGCGAUCUAAGUCGGAUGUGAAAUCCCUCGGCUCAACCGAGGACGUGCAUCCGAAACUGGAUUGCUCGAGUAUGGAAGAGGGUCGCGGAAUUCUCGGUGUAGAGGUGAAAUUCGUAGAUAUCGGGAGGAACACCAGUGGCGAAGGCGGCGACCUGGGCCAAUACUGACGCUGAGGUGCGAAAGCGUGGGGAGCAAACAGG
rnacentral:rRNA from 1 species